rnacentral:rRNA from 1 species
CUGGCUCAGGAUGAACGCUAGCGGCAGGCUUAACACAUGCAAGUCGAGGGGCAUCGCGGUGUAGCAAUACACUGGCGGCGACCGGCGAAAGGGUGAGUAACGCGUGAGCAACAUGCCCGGUACUGGGGGAUAGUCAUUGGAAACGAUGCGUAAUACCCCGUAACACAUGAGGCGGCAUCGCCUUAUGUUGAGAGAUUUAUCGAUACCGGAUUGGCUCGCGUACCAUUAGCUAGUUGGCGGGGUAACGGCCCACCAAGGCGACGAUGGUUAGGGGUUCUGAGAGGAAGGUCCCCCACAUUGGAACUGAGACACGGUCCAGACUCCUACGGGAGGCAGCAGUGAGGAAUAUUGGUCAAUGGCCGAGAGGCUGAACCAGCCAUGCCGCGUGCGGGAAGACGGCCCUAUGGGUUGUAAACCGCUUUUGUCGGGGAGCAAUAAGUCUUACGAGUAAGAUGAUGAGAGUACCUGGCGAAUAAGCAUCGGCUAACUCCGUGCCAGCCGCGGC